rnacentral:rRNA from 1 species
AAUCUUCCACAAUGGACGAAAGUCUAAUGGAGCAACCCCGCGUGAGCGAAGAAGAUUUUAGGAACGUCACGCUCUGUUGCGAGGGAAGAACAAGUACGGACGUAACUUUCCGUAACUUGAAGGUACCUCGUCAGAAAGCAACGGCUAACUACUUGCUAGCAGCCGCGGUAAUACGUAGGUGGCAAGCGUUGUCCGGAAUUAUUGGGCGUAAAGCGCGCGCAGGCGGUCCUUUAAGUCUGAUGUGAAAGCCAACGGCUCAACCGUGGAGGGUCAUUGGAAACUGGAGGACUUGAGUACAGAAGAGGAAAGCGGAAUUCCACGUGUAGCGGUGAAAUGCGAAGAGAUGUGGAGGAACACCAGUGGCGAAGGCGGCUUUCUGGUCUGUAACUGACGCUGAGGCGCGAAAGCGUGGGGAGCAAACA